AAUAUUUGAAAUUGUAUCACAUUUAGUUUUUGUUUUGCGAUUUGUUGUAAAAGCAGUGUUACAAAAUUAAAUCAAACAACAAUUUCGAUUUAUUUGUGUUACAAGAGAAACCAAAGUUUUUGUUUCGUUGUUAUGAUUUGUGUAAAUGAAUGAGGGAUUUGACGAUGCAUUACACAUAUGUUCCAAAUAGAGGAUAGAAAGAGGAUUAAUAACACACUGAUAAAUCAAAACAAAAAAGCGUUCGAUUGCAGAAACAAACGUUUGUGAUUUUGAAAAAUAUUCAGAAGAAAAACAAAGUACUUUGUAAAAAAAAAACUUCUUGCUUUAGGAUUACGUUUCGCAAAUGAAUAAAAGGCAUAAAUAAAAAUUGCAACAAGUUUAAAUUUUGUGUGAAUAAACGUGAUUGCUUUAAUUAGGUUUAUCAUUUCAUAUCAGCUAUUCCAUUUAAAAAUGUACAAGGAACAUUGUCCUACACACAGAGUUUUAAUUUUAUUCUGCAAAAAUCAGCCAAAAUUGUUUGUCACAAAUAUAUAGUUACAACUGGGUUGUAUUAGUUCUAAGGUCCCUCUAGUUGAAUUUCCCUUAUUUCAAAUUGUAACGUGUUUUCUUAUUACGUCAUCACACAUUGUUUCCAGUAUUCCCUAGAAUUUCUUUACUGUUCUUUGUUGUCAUUAUUUUAUUCACUAUUGGUUCUUUUUAGUUGUAAGCAUAAUUUUGGAAGAGCGUUCGUCCCCGCCAUAAAUAAAACAUUCAUAUGGAAGAUUUUUACGCAAUUGUUCUUCCGUAUGAGUCGCAAAACACUCUUCUAGAAUAUCAUACGACAAUCCAUUGCGUGUGCGGAAGUUUAAGCAACCCUUCGCGACGAAUCUCUUACAAGCAAUUGCGUUAUAAUCGCCCGUGUGAGUUGUGAAACACUCUUCUAGGUUAUCAUUGGACAAUCCAUUGUGUGUGAGGAAUUUUUAGCAACUUGAUUAUUGCGCAACCCAUGGCGUAAUAAUUGUCCAGAUUAUAUAUAGCCUGAGCAAACUUUUCGUGAUUGUUUUUAUUUUCAUGCCUGGUGCGUUCAGGACUAGUAUUAUGUUAUUCGAUGUUUUGCUUUGAGAGGACAACUUCCACAACAUCAAACAGAAUUCUCACUUGGCUUAUAUGACGAUUGGUAUUUAGUAUGACGAGUAAUACAAAUAUUUUUUUUGUGAAGUUUUUUCGUUUCGAUGAACAGCUAGUCUUGAUAUGCAUUUUAGACCUUCCAAUAGAAUUACGCACAAUUCUUUUAGAGCAAUAUUUAAUAAAUAUUCUGAAACACUUAUUUGAUACUCGUCCAGGGGAGCAAUGCGAGUAUUUAAGAAAUCUUCCAAAAGACUCAUUUGUUACUCGUUCACACGAUUCUGGCGCGAUUCAAAAGAUCUUCCAAGACUAUUCUGACUUACUCUUUAGCAACUCAUAUGAAAGUUUCGGGGAACACUCUUCCAGAAGAUUUGUCCUAAGGACACAACUCUUCACGACGGGGGAAUCAUCUACGACUCUUAGACGAGCUCAUCCGCGAUCAUUACCUUCUUCUAGAAGAUUCGCAGAUUUUUUGGCGACGGAAAAUGUUUGCAGGUCCCAUACUUGUUCGAUAGAUAUAAGUAUAUGCGUUUGUCUGUCAUGUAUCAUCCCUGUAGGAAGUCUGUGGUUAAUUGUCUGCAAGUCACCAUUUUUGACAACAUUGUCUACAAUAUCGUCUCUAUUGUUUUACUGACAAUCUGUCAAUCUAUAAUAUAUUUUAUUUUUACUCAUUUUCUCAAUUGCUUUGUUGUAAAUAAUUAUGCCGGUUCGUAACUCAUUUCGGAAAAACCAAUGAAAAAAUUGCAAAUUUAGCAUGUGAUGCUAAUAGCGACAUAAGGUGACCCAUAUACACGCCAAAUGAAGACAAUUCUUGGUGAUAAUGAUGGACGCAACCGACAUCAGGUAUUUGGAAACGGCAAUUUUUGACGGAUCAUUUGGUAGCUAUCCAAUGAUUUCCCAAUAUAUAUAAAGGUUUUAUUUUAAACAAUAAAUAAAUAUAUGUUUAAGCUUA
rnacentral:sRNA from 1 species